UACGAAGGGGGCUAGCGUUGUUCGGAUUUACUGGGCGUAAAGCGCACGUAGGCGGGUCGUUAAGUCAGGGGUGAAAUCCCGGAGCUCAACUCCGGAACUGCCUUUGAUACUGGCGACCUUGAGGCUGGAAGAGGUUAGUGGAAUCCCCAGUGUAGAGGUGAAAUUCGUAGAUAUUGGGAAGAACACCAGUGGCGAAGGCGGCUAACUGGUCCAGAUCUGACGCUGAGGUGCGAAAGCGUGGGGAGCAAACAGG
rnacentral:rRNA from 1 species